rnacentral:rRNA from 1 species
GGGUUGUCUGCUGUGCUAUCUUUGUUGGGUGGAUUCCUUCGGGAUUUCAUCUGGUAUCGUGUGUGUGGCAGGCUAUUAUUCUUAUUAUAGUCCUUUGUUAUUUUAGCAUUGAGAACUGAGUAUGGAUCUCCUAUUUUCUGGUAAUACGGGUCGGUGUCAGCAAUGUCGUCGGCCAAAUACGUGUUCCAGAUUGUUUACUUUGAAAAAAUUAGAGUGUUUAAAGCAGGUGUUAUUUGCAUCAUGAAUACAUUAGCAUGGGAUAAUAGAAUAUGACUUUUGGUCUUAUUUUGUUGGUUUCUAGGGCCGAGGUA